rnacentral:rRNA from 2 species
GGUUAAGUGAAUAAGGGCGCACGGUGGAUGCCUUGGCACUAGGAGCCGAUGAAGGACGGGACUAAC